UGUUGUCCGCUGAUUGCCCAGCAGUACUCGUACGUAUGGUAAUAUGGUUUCUGUGGAUCAUUUCUUUGUUUUUGCCUUUUGUGAAAAAGGAUGUAUGGGUUUUUGUUUUUGGUGUGUAUUUGAUGGACUAUGUAUUGCAUCGGUGGAGCUACCUUAAGUGAAAUAUUAGAAAGAUAAUACAAAUUAUCCUUCACAUUUAAAAUUUUUGAUUUCAUGAUACUAUGAGUGAAAAAAAUCUUUAUGUUUGAAGGACCCGUCCUCUUUUGUUUGAUAAAUUGUUCUGCAUUACAAUUGCAUACAUUUAUUGUUUUUUUAAUCUGAAAUAAAGAAAACAUCAACAAAGAUGGAGAUUAUGGACAUGUUGUGCAGGUCGGUGAUGGUAUGGAUUUUACUUUUUCUUGGUUGAUGAUUUAGUAGCAUAAUUAAUUUGAUGGUUGUUUUAUGUGUAUGAUUGGUGAUGCAUGAUAUAAUGAGAUUUCAUAUCGUGUUAGUAAAUUCUUUCCAUGUUUGAAGGAGUUUCCACUAAAUUUACUAAUUCUGAUCAAUUUAAGUGUACAUGCUUAUGCAAAUUUUGGUGGCAGAGCCUACUGCACCAUAUGGAUCCUGGAUUUUGGUGAAAAGUUGGGAUCUAGUACUAAAUUGAAUGGAGAUACAUGUUUCGUGUAGCAGACUACAAAUUUACUGGGGACAAUUACUUUUUGUUUUAAUCGAAUUAUAUAUGCUUUGUCAAAAACAAAAGCCAAAAGAAACCAUAUUUCAUGUUUGUACUGGUGAUAAUUUUGUUUCUAUGCACGUAUGUUAGAGUUUCUGCAGUUGUGUUACAUCAAGUAUAUGUUUUUUUUUUGUUAAAAGUACGUGCAUUUUCCUUGUUGAUAUUCAGUAUUAGUCGCUUAGUUGUAUGUAUGAUUCAUAAACUUUAAUUUGACAUAAAUAAAGUAGUAUUGUAGAAAAAAUAAAUUUCUCAUAGGAAUCUAAAUUUCACAUUUGAUACUAGUCACUUUUAUGAGUGCACUUAUGUUAAUAAUAUUUGUGUUAUGAAUAAAUAAAUGUGGACCUUGUCCUUUUGUUCUUUGACUCGCCCUAUGAUGUUCUAACAUUAUUUAAAGUCUGUUGAUUUCACGUGUUUCUUAAUGACAUGUUAAAAUCAAGUUGUUCACUAAAUUGGACAAAUCAAAAUUAUACCUGACCUUUGUCGUGGGAAAAAAUAAUGAACAUCUCAACCUGCUUAGGGAUCUUUCGCAUCUUAAUAUACUGCUUGAACUUGACAACUUAUCGAAGUCCAUUUUCACAUUGCAUGAAAAUGGGAAACUAUCAACAGGUAACACUACAUUUGAAUACGUUUUUGGUUGAUAUAAUGAAAAUAUUUUGUUGUGGACAGUGGGUGGUUGGCAAUGGCAGUGGGUGAGAAAUGUCGAAACUGAGGCCGUGCCCGAUUAAUUUUGGGUUUGAUACAAACUAUUUUUGAUUUAAAAUGUUGUUCGUUAGGACAAUGUUUGUGGACAUGGACAUGUAGACAUGUGUAUUUUAAAAUUGUUUACAUUUAUAGAGUACAUAUUUAGUUCUCUAAUUAUAUUUUGAACCCAUCAUAGAUUCGUUUAUUCUUAGAAGUUUGUAUUUGGUUAUUUACAUUAAUUAUACUUACGAUGUGAACCCUUUUGCAAUAUGCACCUUACAAUCCAUAUGCUACAUUUGCAAGACGAUAGUGUAAUGAGACAUCCUAUAGAAAAGGACUUAGAGGGUGUUUGUUUUCACUUGUAAUUGUUUUUCGACUGUGAUGACUGGAUUUCCGUUGUUUUGUACCAAGUUCGUGUGUUGGGGCACCAUGCAUACGUAUCACAUGUGCUUGUUGAAAACUAUCGUUCCUGACAGUUAGCUGCAGGCAUUCUUGACAGAUGAGAGAUGGUACUGUCCUGCCAGACGAGUGCAGUCAUUUGUCGACACAGGUUUCGGUGACAGUGUCUCGACACAUGACUGUGGGCAGUGACGACAUGCACACGUGCGUUUCGAAAUAACAUGUAUGUCGAACAUUCAUAUCUCAUUGCCGGACGUAUUUUUGCACAUUCAAAAUAUUGUUAGUAACAUUUUUUUUAGUUCGACAUUGCAUGCACAAUUCGACAUAAUCUGUUCUUAUACGUUUGGGUAGACGAUCUGUUAUUAUACGUUUAUCGUAUUACUUGUUCCAAUUGAUGUGGUUGUAUGCUCUUCCGAAGUACGCUUGUUCUUUGAAAUAUUCAUUUGGUAUUGAUUUAUGGUCUGACCAUUAUCGUUUCAUGUGCAGAACAGAUGGAAUUUCAAUUUUUGGUGCCGGAGAAUGUACGGUUGCCCGCGCGCAUCCCGUAACGGAGCAACCUCAAGUACAUCAAAAUGGUGAUGGAUAACUUCGACGACCAACUGCGGGAUGACUUUUGGAACUGCUGCCUUGUGUUUCUUGCUGACAUUUCGGAGAUUCAGUUUUUCGGUCAACUAAUCCAGGCCCUUGUGUGCUGAGGGAUACGUUGCAAUAAGUCCCAUGAGUUGUAGUUCAACGUGCAGGGCCACCUUACCCGAUUUGGACUGCAGGAGUAUGCUAUCGUGACUGGACUGCAUGCUGACUCGUUUCCAAAGGGUGAUCGGUUGAGCAAAGCAUUGAAGAAAAGGAGGCUGUAGGAAAAGUAUUUCAAAUCGCUGGACAAGAUUUCAUGUGCCCAGUUGGAGAAGACGUUUGUCCGUGCUUCGACACCCCGGGCAGAUAGAUACAAGCUUGGACUUGCUCUGAUUGUUGAAGGAGUUAUCAUUGCUCCGCAUAAUAAUGUUGACAUUGAUGAGGAUACGCUCUCUCGUCGAUGACUUGGAGCUGUUUUUUUCAUACCCUUGGGCCAAAGUGGGGAAUAGGCGUUUGUUGAAUGGAUUCCGGGGUACUUCGGCACGUAAAAUGAGCGAUGCAAAGAUGAAGAACGAGAAGGAUGUUAGUUACACAAUUCACGAAUUUUCGAUCGUCAUGCAGGUACGAACAACAUUACGUUUAUGUGUUUUGUUUGUUAGUAUUGGAAGGGUAACGUACAUUAUUUGGAUGGAUACUUAUGCGACAUUUUUAUGUUUUUCGUCCAAAUUUUUAUUUUUGUCCGGACAGGUUUGGGCAUUUGAGGCCGUGCCCGAACUCGGCGAAUGCUUCGGUGAGCGGAUGGGUGAACGAUCGCCCCGACUUCUGUGUUGGACCUCUACGAAACAACCGCAGUAGCGUACGUAUGAUGCGUUCUUCAGGGAUGUACUCGUCAUGGACAUUUUUCAUUUCCGUUUCAAUUCUUUUGUUUUAUUGGGAAUAGUAUGCAAUAUAUUUUAAUUACCCGUUCCCCCCUGUUUCUACAGCUGCACGUGCACGCCACAUUGUGUCCCACGGGGGCCGAGCGUGAUCUGCCAUACAUCGCCAGUUUGGUGCCGUUCACCGAUUGUCCGGUGCAAUUUCUGGACGACCUCGCUAUGAGUGUUGUCGGGCCACAGUUCCAUGAGGCGG
rnacentral:lncRNA from 1 species